UACGAAGGGGGCUAGCGUUGCUCGGAAUCACUGGGCGUAAAGCGCACGUAGGCGGACUCUUAAGUCAGGGGUGAAAUCCUGGAGCUCAACUCCAGAACUGCCUUUGAUACUGGGAGUCUUGAGUUCGGGAGAGGUGAGUGGAACUGCGAGUGUAGAGGUGAAAUUCGUAGAUAUUAGGAAGAACACCAGUGGCGAAGGCGGCUCACUGGUCCGGUACUGACGCUGAGGUGCGAAAGCGUGGGGAGCAAACAGG
rnacentral:rRNA from 1 species